rnacentral:rRNA from 1 species
UACGUAGGGUCCGAGCGUUGUCCGGAGUUACUGGGCGUAAAGCGCGCGCAGGUGGUUCGCUAAGCCCGGCGUGAAAGCCCCCGGCUCAACCGGGGAGGGUCGUCGGGGACUGGCGGACUUGAGGGCGGCAGGGGCUGGUGGAAUCCCCGGUGUAGUGGUGAAAUGCGUAGAGAUCGGGGGGAACACCCGUGGCGAAGGCGGCCAGCUGGGCCGACCCUGACACUGAGGCGCGAAGGCGUGGGGAGCGAACGGG